rnacentral:misc_RNA from 1 species
AAACUUAUAGCCAGGGUCUCGUUCACCUUCACCGCCUUUGUUCUCGAAUACUCUUUUUAUAUAAACCUUUCUCAAAAGGAAGAGUUGAAUAAACCCCUCGGCUAUGGCUUUUGGAGUGGACGUUGACUGUAGUCUUUGAUCAUCAAUAUUUCAGCACAUAAUUUCCGCGGCACCUGCUCCAGAACUUUUCCUUCUUGCCAUGCCUGGCCAACUAACACUCCAGGUCCCAGAUAUCGAACAUAUACUACAACCUGGUCAUUGAAAGGAUAUAGAUGCUUGGCUGGAGCCGGAAAGCCUUCAGGGUAUUCAUGAAU